rnacentral:rRNA from 1 species
UUCGCAAUGCCCGAAAGGGUGACGAAGCGACGCCGCGUGGGUGAGGAAGGCCUUCGGGUUGUAAAGCCCUGUCAGGAGUUAAGAAAUGUAAGUGCGCUAAUAUCGCAUUUAUUUGACGAAGGCUCCAAAGGAAGUCACGGCUAACUCUGUGCCAGCAGCCGCGGUAAUACAGAGGUGGCAAGCGUUGUUCGGAAUUAUUGGGCGUAAAGAGCACGUAGGUGGGUUUGUAAGUCAGAUGUGAAAGCCUUCUGUUCAACGGAAGAAUUGCAUCUGAAACUGCGAGUCUUGAGUGUAGGAGGGGAGAAUGGAACUUCUGGUGGAGCGGUGAAAUGCGUAGAUAUCAGAGGGAACGCCGGCGGCGAAAGCGAUUCUCUGGCCUAUUACUGACACUCAGUGUGCGAAAGCUAGGGGAGCAAACGGGAUUAGAUACCCCGGUAGUCCUAGCCGUAAACGAUGGGCACUAAGUAGAGGGGUUUUA